AUACGUAGGUGGCAAGCGUUGUCCGGAAUUAUUGGGCGUAAAGCGCGCGCAGGUGGUUCCUUAAGUCUGAUGUGAAAGCCCCCGGCUCAACCGGGGAGGGUCAUUGGAAACUGGGGAACUUGAGUGCAGAAGAGGAUAGUGGAAUUCCAAGUGUAGCGGUGAAAUGCGUAGAGAUUUGGAGGAACACCAGUGGCGUAGGCGACUUUCUGGACGAUAAUAGACACUGAGGCUCGAAAGCGUGGGGAGCAAACAGGAUUAGAUUCCCUGGUAGUCCACGCCGUAAACGAUGAGUGCUAAGUGUUGGGGGGUUUCCGCCCCUCAGUGCUGCAGCUAACGCAUUAAGCGCUCCGGCUGGGGAGUACGGUCUCAAGACUGAAACUCAAAGGAAUUGACGGGG
rnacentral:rRNA from 1 species